GACGAACGCUGGCGGCAUGCCUAACACAUGCAAGUCGAACGAGACCUUCCGGCCUAUGGGCGCACGUCUACUUAACACCUGGUGACCUACCCUUAGGUUCCCAGUAACUGACCGAAAGAUGUCCUAAUACCGCAUAAUGUCUUCCGGCCAACGAGUUAUCGCCGUUGGCUGGGGCCUCGUUGGAUUAGGUAGUUGGUAGUGUAAAAGCAUACCAAGGCGACGAUCCAUAGCUGGUCGGAGAGGAUGAUCCGCCAGACUGGGACUGAGACCCGGCCCACACCGGUAGGGGAGGGAGCAGUGGGGAAUAUUGGAGAAGGGGCGAUAGCCUGAUAAAGCCACGUGGGGUGAGUGAUGAAGGCGUUAGGGUUGUAAAGCUGUCCUUGACGAGACGAUAAUGACAGUAAUGGGAGAAUAAGCUCCGGCUAACUACGUG
rnacentral:rRNA from 1 species